GCCAGUGGAUAGACAAGACCAUGACUCAAUAGAAGUCUGGUUUAUACACCACCAUCUCCCACUACAGCCAGUGGAUAGACAGGACCAUGACUCAAUAGAAGCCUGGUUUAUACACCACCAUCUCCCACUACAGCCAGUGGAUAGACAAGACCAUGACUCAAUAGAAGCCUGGUUUAUACACCACCAUCUCCCACUACAGCCAGUGGAUAGACGGGUCCAUGACUCAAUAGAAGCCUGGUUUAUACACCACCAUCUCCAACUACAGCCAGUGGAUAGACAGGACCAUGACUCAAUAGAAGCCUGGUUUAUACACCACCAUCUCCCACUACAGCCAGUGGAUAGACAGGACCAUGACUCAAUAGAAGCCUGGUUUAUACACCACCAUCUCCCACUACAGCCAGUGGAUAGACAAGACCAUGACUCAAUAGAAGCCUGGUUUAUACACCACCAUCUCCCACUACAGCCAGUGGAUAGACAGGACCAUGACUCAAUAGAAGCCUGGUUUAUACACCACCAUCUCCCACUACAGCCAGUGGAUAGACAAGCCCAUGACUCAAUAGAAGCCUGGUUUAUACACCACCAUCUCCCACUACAGCCAGUGGAUAGACAGGACCAUGACUCAAUAGAAGCCUGGUUUAUACACCACCAUCUCCCACUACAGCCAGUGGAUAGACAAGACCAUGACUCAAUAGAAGCCUGGUUUAUA